rnacentral:rRNA from 1 species
AGAUUGAACGCUGGCGGCAGGCCUAACACAUGCAAGUCGAGCGGUAGAGAGGUGCUUGCACCUCUUGAGAGCGGCGGACGGGUGAGUAAAGCCUAGGAAUCUGCCUGGUAGUGGGGGAUAACGCUCGGAAACGGACGCUAAUACCGCAUACGUCCUACGGGAGAAAGCAGGGGACCUUCGGGCCUUGCGCUAUCAGAUGAGCCUAGGUCGGAUUAGCUAGUUGGUGAGGUAAUGGCUCACCAAGGCGACGAUCCGUAACUGGUCUGAGAGGAUGAUCAGUCACACUGGAACUG